rnacentral:rRNA from 1 species
CCUACGGGUGGCUGCAGUGGGGAAUUUUGGACAAUGGGGGCAACCCUGAUCCAGCCAUGCCGCGUGCGGGAAGAAGGCCUUCGGGUUGUAAACCGCUUUCGGCCGGAACGAAAUCGCCGGGGAGAACAUCCCCGGUGGAUGACGGUACCGGAAGAAGAAGCACCGGCUAACUACGUGCCAGCAGCCGCGGUAAUACGUAGGGUGCGAGCGUUGAGUGGAAUUACUGGGGGUAAAGCGUUCGGACAGGGUUGAAAUCCCCGGGCUUAACCUGGGAACUGCGUUUGUGACUGGCGGGCUGGAGUGCGGAAGAGGGAGGUGGAAUUCCACGUGUAGCAGUGAAAUGCGUAGAGAUGUGGAGGAACACCGAUGGCGAAGGCAGCCUCCUGGUCUAGCACUGACGCUCAAGCACGAAAACGUGGGGAGCAAACAGGAUUAGAUACCCUAGUAGUC